rnacentral:rRNA from 1 species
UCAUAGAAGUAAAUAAAAAAAUUCUACCAGAGCACUAAGAAUAAAAAGUUUAAAACUCAAAGGGCUUGGCGGUGUUUUAGACUACUUAGGGGAACCUGUCUCGUAAUCGACAAUCCACGUUAAACCUAACCUUUAUUUUGCACUCAGUUUGUAUACCGUCGUCGUCAGGUAACUUUUAAGAUAUGAACAGUUAGCUAACUAAUAUUUAAAUUAAGACGUCAGAUCAAGGUGCAGCUAAUACUAAGGUGUAGAUGGGUUACAAUUAUAAAAAUCAUAAUAACGGACAACAACUUUAAAGGUAAUUGAUAAGGAGGACUUAAAAGUAAAAUAAAUUAUAUAAAUAUCUUGAAUAAAGCUCUGAAACGUGC